UACGUAGGGGGCGAGCGUUGUCCGGAUUUAUUGGGCGUAAAGAGCUCGUAGGCGGUUUGGUAAGUCGGGUGUGAAAUCUCCACGCUCAACGUGGAGGGGCCACUCGAUACUGCCAUGACUCGAGUCCGGUAGAGGAGUGUGGAAUUCCCGGUGUAGCGGUGAAAUGCGCAGAUAUCGGGAGGAACACCAGCGGCGAAGGCGGCGCUCUGGGCCGGUACUGACGCUGAGGAGCGAAAGCGUGGGGAGCAAACAGG
rnacentral:rRNA from 1 species